AGCAGUAGCCGCGGUAAUACGUAGGUGGCAAGCGUUGUCCGGAAUUAUUGGGCGUAAAGCGCGCGCAGGCGGAUCAGUUAGUCUGUCUUAAAAGUUCGGGGCUUAACCCCGUGAUGGGAUGGAAACUGCUGAUCUAGAGUAUCGGAGAGGAAAGUGGAAUUCCUAGUGUAGCGGUGAAAUGCGCAGAUAUUAGGAAGAACACCAGUGGCGAAGGCGACUUUCUGGACGAAAACUGACGCUGAGGCGCGAAAGCCAGGGGAGCGAACGGGAUUAGAUACCCCAGUAGUCCCUGUCUCUUAUACA
rnacentral:rRNA from 1 species